rnacentral:SRP_RNA from 1 species
AUUACAGGCGUGAGCCACUGUGCCCGGGCAAUUGAUCAUUUUAAUUACCUCCCAUCUACUCUGCUGUAUUUUCUAUAUUGAGCAUGUACUCCCAUAAUCGGAUGUCUGCACUAAGUUCAGCAUCAGUGUGGUGUCCUCCCGGGAAUGGGUCACCACUAGGUUGCCUAAGGAGGGAUGAACUGGCCCAGGUCAGAAACAGAGCAGGUCAAAACUCAAGUGCUGAUCAGUAGUGGGAUCACACCUGUGAAUAGCCACUGCACUCCAGCCUGGGCAACGUAGCAAGACC